AUUGAACGCUGGCGGCAGGCCUAACACAUGCAAGUCGAACGAGUGGCGGACGGGUGAGUAAUGUCUGGUAAACUGCCUGAUGGAGGGGGAUAACCACUGGAAACGGUAGCUAAUACCGCAUACCAUCAGAUGUGCCCAGAUGGGCUUAGCUUGUUGGUGGGGUACCGGCUCACCAAGGCGACGAUCCCUAGCUGGUCUGAGAGGAUGACCAGCAACACUGGAACUGAGCCACGGUCCGGACUCCUACGGGAGGCACAGUUGGGAAAUAUUGCACAAUGGGCGCAAGCCUGAUGCAGCCAUGCCGCGUGUAUGAAGAGGGCCUUCGGGUUGUAAAGUACUUUCAUCGGGGAGGCGUUAACCGCAGAAGAAGCACCGGCUAACUCCGUGCCAGCAGCCGCGGUAAUUC
rnacentral:rRNA from 1 species